rnacentral:lncRNA from 1 species
CCCUGCCCCACUCAGAUGGAUCGCGGUGAGACCCGCCCAGGCAGCCCGUAACAGUGCCCCCCCCCCGUCCCCCAGUACACUCCUGCCUCUAUUUCUGAGACUUGCCAGAGAUGCCCCAAAAUGCGACUUGGUCAUAGAGCCACAAGGAUGGACAUCCCCUCCCCAGCUGCUCUUCAUGGCCGCCUCUUUCACUACCCACAGCCCUCUCCCACCUCAGGACCUUUAAUAGUGUCUUCCUGCCCUCAGAAUGGAGUAAUCCCGCCGACUCCAAACCCAGCCAUAGUGGUUGUCCAGAUUGGCCAAUCGGACCACCUUCAACAUUUCCACCCAGCACCCAGGGGAGUCUUCCAGAGGAAACUGACGCUCACCAAGAGGAAAUGUAAAGAGACAGCUUUGCCAUUCCUCAGCCAAGACCCCAGUCAGUCUCUCCAGAGGGAAGCCCCAGCACAAGCCCACCCAGCCCCAAGCUGCCUCCCUCGAGCUCAUUUGAGCCCUUCAGACAACCCUGAAGAGAAAACCCAACAAGACAACCACCAGGGUAGGGGCAGGUGAGGGGGGAUCUUUGAAGAAACAGACUUAGGCAAGGAGGAGAAAAUAUCAGAAAUAGCCGUAUUUAAUAUCCUCGAAGAGAUCAGAGGAGAUAUUGCAUCCCAGAACCAAGAGCAGGAUGCUAUUUUAAGGAGAACAUUUAGAGAACAAAAAGGGCUGGGAAAUUAAAAGCAUGAGAGCCGAAACAAAAAAAAAAAAACUCAACAGACUGGUUGGAAGAUAAAAGUAAGCGAAUGUCCCAGAAGGCACAGCAAAAAGACAAAGAGGAAAAAAGAAAGAAAGGAGGAAAAAUUAGAUGCCACAUUCAAACUACACAAAAGAAUCCUGGGGCGGCGGGCCGGGGGGUGAAUGAGAAUCACAAACUAUUUAAUUCAAGAAAUGUUCCCAGAAAUGAGAAUGAGUUUUCAAAUUCUACACACAAUGGAUGGAAAUUGACCCACAUCAAGGCAUAUUAUAAUAGAAAAUAGAGAAAGUUCCCUCAGGUUUCCAAGCACUAUGAAAAAGAGCAAGGGUGAGAGUGACUCCUGAAUUUUCAACAGCAACAGCAGGGCAAGCUAACAAACAACACAGUAUGCCUUCAAAACGCCAACAGAUAGUGAUUUCUGGCCUAGAAUCUUUUACUUAAUCAAAACGACAAUAAAAUGUGAAUUAAAAUAAAGACGUUUGAAUAGGCAAAGUGUCAAAAAUAUUAUUUCCUGUGUGCCAUCUUCCAGCUACUGCAGGAUGUGCUCCAACAAAACAAAGAAGGAGAACAUGAAAGAGGGCAACAAGGGAGAGAGAAAACAGGGGCUCCACUAAGAAAACAAGAGGGACAGGUGCACAGGACAGUGAGAAGAGAUGACAAGAGGGCAGAUGUGCACUAGGCAAGAAGCCAUCGUCUAAAUGAGAGCAGGGAAACCAGACAAGCCAACUGUCCAGGGCACAGACACAUCGAGGGCUGUCGUCAGUGAAAUGCUUUUGACACCGUAAAAACCUGGCCUAGAAUCUUCUCUGUACUCAGAGGCCAGGCUGAGAUGGAGUUCCCCCUCCUCUCUCUCUGCAGCACAACUGAUAUAGGCUGGACACAUUUCAGCCCUCAGAGGUCUCCUACCUUGACCCACUCUUAGAAAUGGGAAGGAGGUCACCGUGAGCUAGGAAACAGAAAGGCAGAUCAGCUGCUUACCCCACCCAGCACCCAGCCAGGCACCCCAGCUGGCGUCUCCUUUCCCCAGGACCCCUUAUGCCCUGCUUACUCUCGAAAAGGGUCUCUUGAAAAUUGCUGGGCAACUGAGGUCCAAGACCUUUCCCUUUGUCUCCUCCCAGGCCCCUCCCUCUAGGAACAGCAGCCCAAAGGCACCUUGGGCAGAGAGGACACCGAAGGUCAGCUUCUGUCUCCAUCACCAUGCACAUCCACUCUGGAAGUUAAUGACAGCACAAAAAUAGGGUAAAAUGUUUGAGGAAAACAGGGUAUGAGGGGGCUUCUUUCCCAUCACCAGCUUUUAACGUUAGGCCCACAGAUAAGCAAUACCACAGGCUGCUGCGGAGAUUAUGUUACAUCUGGUACCAGGUUGCCCAAGUGGUCUAAUUUUAUUUUAUUUCAUUUUAUUUUAUUUAUUUUUGUGGUUCUGG